UUCUGGACAAUACUGACGCUGAGAUGCGAAAGCGUGGGGAGCAAACAGGAUUAGAUACCCUGGUAGUCCACGCUGUAAACGAUGUCGAUUUGGAGUUUGGGGGCAUGACCCUUGGGCUCCGGAGCUAACGCGUUAAAUCGACCGCCUGGGGAGUACGGCCGCAAGGUUAAAACUCAAAUGAAUUGACGGGGGCCCGCACAAGCGGUGGAGCAUGUGGUUUAAUUCGAUGCAACGCGAAGAACCUUACCUGGUCUUGACAUCCAUAGAAUCUUGUAGAGAUACGAGAGUGCCUUCGGGAGCUAUGAGACAGGUGCUGCAUGGCUGUCGUCAGCUCGUGUUGUGAAAUGUUGGGUUAAGUCCCGCAACGAGCGCAACCCUUAUCCUUUGUUGCCAGCGGGUAAAGCCGGGAACUCAAAGGAGACUGCCGUUGAUAAAGCGGAGGAAGGUGGGGACGACGUCAAGUCAUCAUGGCCCUUACGACCAGGGCUACACACGUGCUACAAUGGCGUAUACAAAGGGAAGCGAAGGUGCGAACUGGAGCGGACCUCCUAAAGUACGUCUAAGUCCGGAUUGGAGUCUGCAACUCGACUCCAUGAAGUCGGGAUCGCUAGUAAUCGUGAAUCAGAAUGUCACGGUGAAUACGUUCCCGGGCCUUGUACACACCGCCCGUCACACCAUGGGAGUGGGUUGCACCAGAAGUAGAUAGCUUAACCGCAAGGGGGGCGUUUACCACGGUGUGAUUCAUGACUGGGGUGAAGUCGUAACAAGGUAACCA
rnacentral:rRNA from 1 species